CCUAUAGCUCAGCUGGUUAGAGCGCACGCCUGAUAAGCGUGAGGUCGGUGGUUCGAGUCCUGUUAGG
rnacentral:tRNA from 1 species